AGAGAGUUAGCUUAUUGGUAAAGCGGUAAUUUUACACAUUACAUAAAGAGUUUCGAUUACUCUACUCUUUA
rfam:Rhizoctonia solani 123E scf_2670 mitochondrial, whole genome shotgun sequence.